AUUAAACGCUGGCGGCAUGCCUUACACAUGCAAGUCGAACGGCAGCACGGGGGCAACCCUGGUGGCGAGUGGCGGACGGGUGAGUAAAGCAUCGGAACGUAUCCUGGAGUGGGGGAUAACGUAGCGAAAGUUACGCUAAUACCGCAUAUUCUGUGAGCAGGAAAGCAGGGGAUCGCAAGACCUUGCGCUCUGGGAGCGGCCGAUGUCGGAUUAGCUAGUUGGUGGGGUAAAGGCCUACCAAGGCGACGAUCCGUAGCGGGUCUGAGAGGAUGAUCCGCCACACUGGGACUGAGACACGGCCCAGACUCCUACGGGAGGCAGCAGUGGGGAAUUUUGGACAAUGGGCGGAAGCCUGAUCCAGCCAUGCCGCGUGAGUGAAGAAGGGCCUCGGGUUGUAAAGCUCUUUCGGUCGGGGAAGGAAAGUUAGCACGGGUUAAGU
rnacentral:rRNA from 1 species